UACGUAGGGGGCAAGCGUUGUCCGGAUUUAUUGGGCGUAAAGAGCGUGUAGGCGGCCAAGCAGGUCCGCUGUGAAAACUCGAGGCUCAACCUCGAGACGUCGGUGGAAACCGUUUGGCUAGAGUCCGGAAGAGGAGAGUGGAAUUCCCGGUGUAGCGGUGAAAUGCGCAGAUAUCGGGAAGAACACCCGUGGCGAAGGCGGCUCUCUGGGACGGUACUGACGCUGAGGCGCGAAAGCGUGGGGAGCGAACAGG
rnacentral:rRNA from 1 species